rnacentral:rRNA from 1 species
GACGAACGCUGGCGGCGUGCCUAAUACAUGCAAGUAGAACGCUGAAGGAGGAGCUUGCUUCUCUGGAUGAGUUGCGAACGGGUGAGUAACGCGUAGGUAACCUGCCUGGUAGCGGGGGAUAACUAUUGGAAACGAUAGCUAAUACCGCAUAAUAGUAGAUGUUGCAUGACAUUUGCUUAAAAGGUGCAAUUGCAUCACUACCAGAUGGACCUGCGUUGUAUUAGCUAGUUGGUGGGGUAACGGCUCACCAAGGCGACGAUACAUAGCCGACCUGAGAGGGGGAUCGGCCACCCUGGGACUGAGACACGGCCCAGACUCCUACGGGAGGCAGCAGUAGGGAAUCUUCGGCAAUGGACGGAAGUCUGACCGAGCAACGCCGCGUGAGUGAAGAAGGUUUUCGGAUCGUAAAGCUCUGUUGUAAGAGAAGAACGGGUGUGAGAGUGGAAAGUUCACACUGUGACGGUAUCUUACCAGAAAGGGACGGCUAACUACGUG